CGCGGGUGUGGGCCCCCACCCAGUGCCAGCCCCGACCCUCGUACACGUAGCCGUCCGUCCCCACCACGAAGCUGCCGGGGCGCAGAAACUAUCCAAGAUGCAAAGGACCCACCGGCAUGCAGGUAGAAGUGUAGAAAACAUAAACUACGCUGUCAGCCCAUUCUAUUCAGUAUACUGUCUGCAGAAGGUAAAGACCCUGUACGGAACUGCUGAACAGACAUUUUGAAUUUACCGAAGAUCCGAAUUGGCCAAGCAGCUCAAGAUGGAGAAGCUGAAGUUGAAGGGGGACUUUGUUGUUGAGAAUCACCAGUUUGGUGGGUGUAAGAGUCAAGAAUCGACUCUCACUCUCUUGACUAUCUGUCUGAGCACCCUUUCCAUUUGGAGGACUUUUGAAGCCAGGCCUGUCUGCUUCUGUGGCCACCACAACUUUCCCAGUAGCCCCUACCCUGAUGCUUAAAUGCCUGGGAAGAGAAAGAUCCCAGCUACCUCAAGCAAUCUCUCAAAGUCAUGUACCAGAGAAAAGAAGAUAAAAACUGGAGGCAGCCCCCUCCUCAGCACAAGUUUGCCUAGGAGAUGCUGGCUUGGUUAUUAUGAGCCAGGCCCUGUGCUAAGCACUGGGGGACACAAAGAAAGGCAAAGAUGUAGUUCUUGC